rnacentral:tRNA from 1 species
AAGGUUUUAAGUUAACUUAAACUAUUAGCUUUCAAAGCUUAAAAUACAAUAAUGAUCGUAAGCCUUA